AACGAACGCUGGCGGCAGGCCUAACACAUGCAAGUCGAACGCCGUAGCAAUACGGAGUGGCAGACGGGUGAGUAACACGUGGGAACGUACCCUUCGGUUCGGGAUAACUCAGGGAAACUUGAGCUAAUACCGGAUACGUCCGAGAGGAGAAAGAUUUAUCGCCGAGGGAUCGGCCCGCGUCUGAUUAGCUUGUUGGUGAGGUAACGGCUCACCAAGGCGACGAUCAGUAGCUGGCUGAGAGGAUGAUCAGCCACAUUGGGACUGAGACACGGCCCAAACUCCUACGGGAGGCAGCAGUGGGGAAUAUUGGACAAUGGGCGCAAGCCUGAUCCAGCCAUGCCGCGUGAGUGAUGAAAGGCCCUAGGGUUGUAAAGCUCUUUUACCCGGGAAGAUAAUGACUGUACCGGGAGAAUAAGCCCCGGCUAACUUCGUGCCAGCCGCCGCGGUAA
rnacentral:rRNA from 1 species